rnacentral:rRNA from 1 species
GAUGAACGCUGGCGGUGUGCCUAAUACAUGCAAGUCGAGCGAACAGACGAGGAGCUUGCUCCUCUGACGUUAGCGGCGGGCGGGUGAGUAACACGUGUAUAACCUCCCUAUAAGACUGGUAUAACUUCGGGAAACCGGAGCUAAUACCGGAUAACAUGUUGAUCCGCAGGGUUCAACAGUGAAUGACGGUCUUUCUGUCACUUAUAGAUGGAUCCGCGUCGCAUUGGCUAGUUGGUAAGGUAACGGCCUACCAAGGCAACGAUGCGUAGCCGACGUGAGAGGGUGGUCGGCCACAUGGGAACUGAGACGCCGUCCAGACUCCUGCGGGAGGCCGCAGACGGGUAUGUUCGGCAAUGGGCGAGAGCAUGACGGAGCAGCGCGGCGUGAGUGACGGCGGCGUUCGGAUCGUAAUGCUCUGUUAUGAGUGAAGAACAAAUGUGUAAGUAACUAUACCCUUCUUGACGGUACCUGGUCAGAAAGCCCCGGCUAACUACGUG